GCAAUCCGCUAUAGGAUGGGCCCGCGGCGCACUAGCUAGUUGGUGAGGUAACGGCUCACCAAGGCGACGAUGCAUAGCCGAGCUGAGAGGGUGAUCGGCCACGUUGGGACUGAUACACAGCCCAAACUCCUCCGGGAGGCAACAGUGGGGAAUAUUGCACAAUGGGGGAAACCCUGAUGCAGUCAACAUCCGACGUGAGUGAUGAAGGCCUUUGGGUUGUAAAGCUCUGUCUUUGGGGACGAUCAUGACGGUACCCCAGGAGGAAGCCGCGGCUAACUACGUGCCAGCCGCCGCGGUAAUACAUAGGUGGCAAGCGUUGUCCGGAUUUACUGGGAGUAAAGGGAGCGUAGGUGGACUUUUAUGUGGGAUGUGAAAUACUCGCGCUCAACCUGAGUGCUGCAAUCCAAACUGGAACUCUACAGUGCAAGAUGGGAAAUUGAAAUUCCUAAUGUAGAGUUCAAAUGAGUAGAUAUUAAUAACAACACCGGUGGCGAAGGCGACUUUCUGGACU
rnacentral:rRNA from 1 species